GUCACAAACAGAGAGCAAAGUCCAAACACAAAAGUCCACGGGAAAACAUCAGAACCAUGAGAGCGGCUGCAGCAAACUGAACCAAAGAUGGCCAGACGUCAACUCCGAACAUCUGGAAAACCUGAAUCUGGUGACAUUGUCCAUCUUUGCCGUCCCCCGGCCCAUCCACACCCCCACAGCAGUCAACCAAGGGGACACACUGAAGAUUAAAGUUGCAGAUUGUGAUGGUAUCUUCAAAUUCCACCAUUUCCCUGCAUGCCUACAUUUUCCCUAUUACCAUUAGCCUCAUGUCAUUGAGGCUGUUCCCACCUCCAUCUUGAGAAAUCCAAACACAAGCUGACACCUCUAAAUACAGCAGCAAUCUGUCCACAAUAUAUCCUGAGUGAUCGGAUCUCAGGACACAUUCUUAGCUGGCCUGGGACGCUGGAUGCAUUGAAAGAUCACCUACUAACCUGAGCUCCUCUGUGUUGUCCAGCCCAACACCCCCGACACCGACCAGACUGUCACUUUUCCAACAGAGAAAUUAUCUUACCUGACUCUGCCCAGCGCAGCUGCACUGUCAGCUGACGGGCCAAAUGCAAACUGAAGUGCAGGUCAGCGAUAAACAGCUGCUUAAUGAAUAAAAACACAAACUUUCUACCCACAAAUGUAACGACAGGUGAGCCAGAAGACAAUCAACUCCCCUUCAUAAGACAUGAGCUCCCUUAAAAACAUGAUUUAAGACAUUUUGGGGGUCUCUAAAAUAUGUAUAGAAAAUAAACAGGGGUUUUUCUUCCAGAUAAAAUUCGGAGAUGGCUGCCUUUCUUAAAUUCUGUGACCUGGCGCAUUUAAACACAUUCUUUCUAACCCUCGACAUGAUAGAGUUACUAUAGGAAUACUACAGGAAUAUUAUAGGUGACCAUGUGAAUCUGUGGGUUACAGUUACUACAGGAAUACCACAGAAAUAUUAUAGGUUGAUUAAUCCAGUGCAUCCUCAAGUAACUGACAGUAACAUUAAAAUGAGGCUGGAGUGCACAAGAAUGAUCUCCUUUUGUUAAAUACCAACUUCCUGCUAAAUGCGAUUUUAUUUUUAUUUUUUUGCAUGGAAGGACUAGCAAAAUAUGAAUUUCAUUUAA